rfam:Heligmosomoides polygyrus genome assembly, scaffold: HPBE_scaffold0007533
UGGUGUAAGGCGAACAUCGCUGCCCGGAAAGCAGAAGAUGCGGGUUCGAGUCCCGC